rnacentral:rRNA from 1 species
CCUACGGGCGGCUGCAGUGGGGAAUAUUGGGCAAUGGGCGCAAGCCUGACCCAGCAACGCCGCGUGAAGGAAGAAGGCUUUCGGGUUGUAAACUUCUUUUGACAGGGAAGAGUAGAAGACGGUACCUGUCGAAUAAGCCACGGCUAACUACGUGCCAGCAGCCGCGGUAAUACGUAGGUGGCAAGCGUUGUCCGGAUUUACUGGGUGUAAAGGGCGUGUAGCCGGGUUGACAAGUCAGAUGUGAAAUCCUGCGGCUUAACCGCAGAACUGCAUUUGAAACUGUUGAUCUUGAGUACUGGAGAGGCAGACGGAAUUCCUAGUGUAGCGGUGAAAUGCGUAGAUAUUAGGAGGAACACCAGUGGCGAAGGCGGCUGUCUGGUCUGCAACUGACGCUGGGGCUCGAAAGCAUGGGUAGCGAACAGGAUUAGAUACCCCAGUAGUC